rnacentral:rRNA from 1 species
CUGGCAGUCAGAGGCGAUGAAGGGCGUGCUAAUCUGCGAUAAGCGCCGGUAAGGUGAUAUGAACCGUUAUAACCGGCGAUACCCGAAUGGGGAAACCCAGUGUGACUCGUCACACUAUCAUUAACUGAAUCCAUAGGUUAAUGAGGCGAACCGGGGGAACUGAAACAUCUAAGUACCCCGAGGAAAAGAAAUCAACCGAGAUUCCCCCAGUAGCGGCGAGCGAACGGGGAGGAGCCCAGAGCCUGAAUCAGCAUGUGUGUUAGUGGAAGCGUCUGGAAAGGCGCGCGAUACAGGGUGACAGCCCCGUACACAAAAGCGCAUGUGCUGUGAGCUCGAUGAGUAGGGCGGGACACGUGGUAUCCUGUCUGAAUAUGGGGGGACCAUCCUCCAAGGCUAAAUACUCCUGACUGACCGAUAGUGAACCAGUACCGUGAGGGAAAGGCGAAAAGAACCCCGGCGAGGGGAGUGAAAAAGAACCUGAAACCGUGUACGUACAAGCAGUGGGAGCACCCUUUGGGUGUGACUGCGUACCUUUUGUAUAAUGGGUCAGCGACUUAUAUUCUGUAGCAAGGUUAACCGAAUAGGGGAGCCGGAGGGAAA